rnacentral:rRNA from 1 species
AGAACGAACGCUGGCGGCAUGCCUAACACAUGCAAGUCGAACGAGACCUUCGGGUCUAGUGGCGCACGGGUGCGUAACGCGUGGGAAUCUGCCCUUGGGUUCGGAAUAACAGUUGGAAACGACUGCUAAUACCGGAUGAUGACGUAAGUCCAAAGAUUUAUCGCCCAGGGAUGAGCCCGCGUAGGAUUAGCUAGUUGGUGAGGUAAAGGCUCACCAAGGCGACGAUCCUUAGCUGGUCUGAGAGGAUGAUCAGCCACACUGGGACUGAGACACGGCCCAGACUCCUACGGGAGCAGCAGGUGGGAAUAGUGGACAAUGGGACGAAAGCCUGAUCCAGCAAGUGCCGCGUGAGUGAUGAA